rnacentral:lncRNA from 1 species
AUAUAUGGCAAGAAAAGUGGCAGAGCUGAUGUUUGAAACUCAAAUUCCAGGACAGAAUCUCCCUUUGGUACCCAGGCUGGCCUCGAAUUCCUAAGCUCAAACAAUCCUCCUGCCUCAGCCUCCUAGAAGCUAGGACUAUAAGCAUCACUUUGAUUGGUACACCCCCAUCUUUGGAGGAAGUCUGCAAUGAAGCCUUGUGUAAGUCAGUCACAGUGUUAUACUGAA